rnacentral:tRNA from 1 species
UGGCAGAAUAAGCUAAUUUGAAGCUGUCGGGUUCAUACCCCGAAUAUGGAACUAAUGUGUACCUUCUGUUAA